UUUGAAUUUUUGCAAUGAGACCUUGGCGGUGCCCUUGAGCAGUAGGAUAUAAAUAACUCCCACAUGCUUAGUGUUCCAAUAAUGGAACACUAGGCAUAAAUGGGUUUAAGCAUCUUCUAUCCAUGAGGGGCUCUGUGUUUGAAGAAGGAUGAGGAAGAUGCCCCGUGCAGGCCCCACCAACUUCCCAGUGGCUCACUUCCUGCUUUGCCCCUCACUCACUGGCACUUUCUGUGUUUCAGCAGCCUGUUCUGGCCAUAGCAAAAAGGGGUCCUCCAGCGACUGCCACAGCUGUUCCAACAACAGCCUCAGCCUUUGGCAUUUCAUGGUUUCCUCAGGAAACUGACUAGAUGAGCCCAUUUCUUAGGGACAGCCCAGUUUAAGACCACAGGGACAACCUUGAACCCACUAACUCUAUCCUCAUCUCACUCUACCAGCCAGCUACAGUGAAGGUUCUUUUGGAGGCCAGUGACAGAAGCCAACUCAGCCAAAAGUGGAAUC
rnacentral:lncRNA from 1 species